rnacentral:rRNA from 1 species
UACGUAGGGUGCAAGCGUUAAUCGGAAUUACUGGGCGUAAAGCGUGCGCAGGCGGUUUUGUAAGUUUGUCGUGAAAUCCCCGGGCUCAACCUGGGAAUUGCGAUGAAGACUGCAAGGCUAGAAUCUGGCAGAGGGGGGUAGAAUUCCACGUGUAGCAGUGAAAUGCGCAGAUAUCAAGGGAGGAACACCGGUGGGCGAAGGCGGAUCUCUGGGCCAAUAACUGACG